CAGCAGCCGCGGGAAAACGUAGGGUGCAAGCGUUAAUCGGAAUUACUGGGCGUAAAGCGUGCGCAGGCGGUUUGUUAAGACAGAUGUGAAAUCCCCGGGCUCAACCUGGGAACUGCAUUUGUGACUGGCAAGCUAGAGUCUGGCAGAGGGGGGUGGAAUUCCGCGUGUAGCAGUGAAAUGCGUAGAUAUGCGGAGGAACACCGAUGGCGAAGGCGGCAACCUGGUCCGAUACUGACGCUGAGGCGCGAAAGCGUGGGGAGCAAACAGGAUUAGAUACCCGCGUAGUCCCUGUCUCUUAUAC
rnacentral:rRNA from 1 species